GGCCUGGUGGCACAGCGGUAGUGCAUCUGCAUACAAUACAUUGAAAUGAUAGAACAGUGUGCAGACGAUGCUGGUUCGAGUCCGGCCUGGGCCU